CCCCAUACACAGCCAAUAAGCUGCCGAAUGUCGGCAGCUUUAAUCAGCCCGUGUAUGGCCACCUUAAGUGAAAUUCCCUAUCUUUGCUUCAUGAAUGUGAUUUAGUAAAUUAGCAGAUGUAAAUAAUAGUCAAUCCUUGUACCCAUUCCAUGAGUGUGUGAAUAAAAUGUAAAUUCUUUUUCAGAGGGAUUAAUAAUUCUCCAAACAUCAUUUAAAUUUGUUUGAUCUAAAAAAUUGUAAAGAAGUCUAGACUUGUUGUUGUAUUAAAUUGAGUACUACAUUUGUCUAAAAGCCAAACAUGAGACUCAUUGAAGUCACCUCCUAUUGUUAAAUUAGAAACACUAAGGGAGUAUAUUUUUUGGAUGAUGUCUGAAUAAAAUAUUGGUUUAUUGUCAUAAGAAUGUAAAUAGAACAAAGAUUCCAAGUUUGAUUAUUAAUUAGAAUUUCCACAUGUGUGAAUCUGCCCAUAUUAUCUUUAUCAGAUUUUAUUUUGUGAUAAGAUAACUUUUUGUUAAGGAAAAUAGAUACUCCUCCCUUUUUUUUAACUGCAGGGGAACUGAUGUUUUCUCCAACCCAAGAAGAACAUAAUAUAAGACUAUUAACCUCUUUUAAAUGGGUCUCCUGUAGAAAAGCAAUUUCUGCUCCCUUUUUUUAUUUCUAAUAAUACUCUUUUUUGUUUAAUAGUUGAGUUAAUUCCAUUUAGCUGGAAUUAACUCUGACUCUGAUUAGCGCUGACUGUGAGCUCUUUCUAUCUUUCAAAUGGGAAUGUCUUUUUGAAGAUUUAAGGCUUUAGAUAGCCAUUGAGAAAUUAGCAUAGCUAGAGUCUCUUGUUUGUAAUGCUCUGGUAAACCAAUAAAGCAAAGAUUAUUUCUUCUGGACCUAUUUUCCAGAUCAUCAUUUUUUUAACUUUCUUUUUGCAGGUAUAACAUUUUAUUAGCCAUGGAAGAGGAGCUAUUUACCAAAGAAGAAACUCUCUUCUCCAUCUUCACCACAAGACUGUUCUGUCAUGACUAGAACGUCCCAAAGUGGAUCCUCUGGAACCCAGAUUACCUUUAGGUCUGAUCAAACCAACAUGGAACCUAUUGUUUUAUUCUUUUUAUAUGACAUAAGUCCUGCUGUGGAUCUUGUUAAAUCCUAUAUGGUCAUCCCAAUGCUACUUCAGGUGAUUUGGCUGAAGUUCUGGAGGUGACGUUUGGCCCUAUAGAGAGUGCUACAGAGAUGCUUUAUCAUUUCCACUCUACCUUCCAGAAAGAGAGGGAAGAUUUGUGGUCUUGUGCGGCUAGAACAAGGCCUGAGACUGCUAGUGAGCUGUGGUGCAAUUAUAGAUGAUGAAAUGGAUUCUCUGAGAAUUUACCAAUUGAAAAGAGGGACCCUGAAUAGUGACCCUGUUGCCGUGACCAUUAGAGUACACUACCAGGAUAAGCUACCCCCUGGGUAUGUUGCUCUGAUGAAGAGAGUUCGGCUAGAGGAGGGUCAAAAGGAGUUCCACUUCAGAGCAUACAGAGAAAUCCCCUGCUGAUGCUAAACUUUUGGAAGAGAACAAGAAGCUUGGCAAAGAGUUGGAGGAGUUAAAAGUUCAACAGUUUGAGAGAGCCAAACCCCCAGCUGAGGCUAAGAAAGUUCCCGGUGUGGCAAGCUUGGAUACAUCCAGCAAAACUGUCCAGUUCCUGAUGAAGGUGAAACCCAAUUCGCACUGUAUGAAGUACUCCACAGGUGUAGAACAUUCAAUGCAAGAUGCUACAAGUGUAAAGUGGUGGGUCAUCAGGCCCAGAGUUGUAAGACUUACAAAAGUUCUACAGUACAGAAGUCUUAUUAUGAGCCUUCCAUUUGUGAGCGUGACUCCCCUGAAGAGGAUAGGGUGUUGGGUCGAGAGAAGAGUUCUGUGGAGAACCCUGUUGGCAUGAAGGUGGCCCCUGAAACCUCUGAUUACCCCCGAUAGAUCUAAAGGACUGGGUCUGGGUAAGCACAGGUCUCCAGGUAAGGCCAAUGAUAGGGUCUCGGGUAACAGCAGUGAUACAAAAAUUAUUGACUGUUUUGCUGUCCAGACAUGCCAGGGCAUAUGGCAAGCGAGGAUGUUGCUGGUUUGUACAAGGGGAGAAUGUAGGGGAUCAGAGAAAUCAUUCACCUGUUUUUCUGUCUGUGACAUCAUCCAGCCCAGUUAUAGGCUGGAGAGCCAUCCGAUUGGCUGGCCGCCCCAGUGUAUCCUUGGGAGAGAGGGUGUGCCUGAGAUCCAGAUCUAUGGUAAGUGACACUGCUGCUUGAAAGGAGUUUCCAAGAAGAAGGAAAAGCUGCGUUUUGCUCUGCUGGAGAAAGUAUUUGAGCAUCAGGGAGAGACAGUUUCUAUCUCCUGCCUGUGGAUACUUUGGCCACUGCGUGUUUCCCCAGGGUGAGGAGAGGUCUUGCUUGUGUACCUGCCACAUGGGAGCG